CACGGGGGGAGCAAGCGUUGUUCGGAAUUACUGGCGUAAAGGGCGUCUAGGCGGAUAGGUAAGUGGGAUGUGAAAUCCCUCGGCUCACCCGAGGACCUGCACCCCCAAACUGCCUGUCUUGAGUAUGGGAGAGGAUGAGGGAAUUCCUGGUGUAGCGGUGAAAUGCGUAGAUAUCAGGAGGAACACCGGUGGCGAAGGCGCUCAUCUGGCCCAAUACUGACGCUGAAGCGCGAAAGCUAGGGGAGCAAACGGG
rnacentral:rRNA from 1 species